GCAUAACGCGAAGAACCUUACCUGGCCUUGACAUGCUGAGAACUUUCCAGAGAUGGAUUGGUGCCUUCGGGAACUCAGACACAGGUGCUGCAUGGCUGUCGUCAGCCCGUGUCGUGAGAUGUUGGGUUAAGUCCCGUAACGAGCGCAACCCUUGUCCUUAGUUACCAGCACGUUAUGGUGGGCACUCUAAGGAGACUGCCGGUGACAAACCGGAGGAAGGUGGGGAUGACGUCAAGUCAUCAUGGCCCUUACGGCCAGGGCUACACACGUGCUACAAUGGUCGGUACAAAGGGUUGCCAAGCCGCGAGGUGGAGCUAAUCCCAUAAAACCGAUCGUAGUCCGGAUCGCAGUCUGCAACUCGACUGCGUGAAGUCGGAAUCGCUAGUAAUCGUGAAUCAGAAUGUCACGGUGAAUACGUUCCCGGGUCUUGUACACACCG
rnacentral:rRNA from 1 species